AGAUGCAACUUUUUCAACCCCUGGUGUGACUAGAGUUCCUUUUCAAAGGGCUGAUUCCCCUGUUGAUGAAUUUGAUAGAAAGAGGCCUCAACGAAAGUUCAAGAACAUCCCCCUAAACCUACGGUCUCCAUUUUGGAAUGAACAUGGGAUGAAAAUCAGAAAUGCCACUGUCCCAGAUAAACUCCUCUCGAACUAUGCAUUUGUAGAAGUUUCUGAUGAACAUCCUAAAGAUGAAUUACUUUUCAGCUUUGGUGACAUUGAGAUCACUAGGGAUCACUUCAUCUCGCUCAGUGUUGGCCAAGUUGAAAAUAUCUUUUUAGAU